UACGUAGGGCGCAAGCGUUGUCCGGAAUUAUUGGGCGUAAAGAGCUCGUAGGCGGUUUGUCGCGUCUGCCGUGAAAGUCCGGGGCUCAACUCCGGAUCUGCGGUGGGGUACGGGCAGACUAGAGUGAUGUAGGGGAGACUGGAAUUCCUGGUGUAGCGGUGAAAUGCGCAGAUAUCAGGAGGACACCGAUGGCGAAGGCAGGUCUCUGGGCAUUAACUGACGCUGAGGCGCGAAAGCCGGGAGGGCGAAACGGGAU
rnacentral:rRNA from 1 species